GCGCCUGCGGCGGAAGCAGCGCGGUCAAAUACGGACUUUGCAGGCAGUCAGGCCGCGUACCUUCCGGUAUCGCAAGCAUAGCUUGCUUCAAAGCUGUU
rnacentral:sRNA from 1 species